rnacentral:sRNA from 1 species
UUUUUAUCUGCGAUAUGGAAGAUUCGAACCUGCCGCAGGUUCGGGUCUCACGUAGUGAGACAACGGAGCCGCUUUGCGGCGACGGCCCGAAGGGCGAAAGCAAAGCGAGUCAUCCUGCACGACCUACCA